rnacentral:rRNA from 1 species
CAACUGGGAUUACCUUAGUAACGGCGAGUGAAGCGGUAAAAGCUCAAAUUUGAAAUCUGGUACUUUCAGUGCCCGAGUUGUAAUUUGUAGAAUUUGUCUUUGAUUAGGUCCUUGUCUAUGUUCCUUGGAACAGGACGUCAUAGAGGGUGAGAAUCCCGUUUGGCGAGGAUACCUUUUCUCUGUAAGACUUUUUCGAAGAGUCGAGUUGUUUGGGAAUGCAGCUCAAAGUGGGUGGUAAAUUCCAUCUAAAGCUAAAUAUUGGCGAGAGACCGAUAGCGAACAAGUACAGUGAUGGAAAGAUGAAAAGAACUUUGAAAAGAGAGUGAAAAAGUACGUGAAAUUGUUGAAAGGGAAGGGCAUUUGAUCAGACAUGGUGUUUUUUGCAUGCACUCGCCUCUCGUGGGCUUGGGCCUCUCAAAAAUUUCACUGGGCCAACAUCAAUUCUGGCAGCAGGAUAAAUCAUUAAGAAUGUAGCUACUUCGGUAGUGUUAUAGCUUUUUGGAAUACUGUUAGCCGGGAUUGAGGACUGCGCUUCGGCAAGGAUGUUGGCAUAAUGGUUAAAUGCCGCCCGUCUUAAAAAAAAAAAACAAAGA